CACACAGAGACACACACAUACACAUACUCUCUCCCUCUCUCUCUCUCUCUCUCUCUCAUUUCCCCUCCUAGGUUCUAUGCAGGCAGAUGAGUGCCACAGCUGUAACUGAGGCACAGAGCAAUAAACACAGUGGAGCCAAUUUCCACGAUGGCGAGAGGGGACACCGGAGGUGACAACAAUGACAAGGACUCAAAGGACCACCCUUCUGACAAGUUUUAGGUAAGAAAAUCUGUCUGCCUCGAUUCUUGUAUUUUUGCUUCCCUGUGGCUGAGAGCGAGUCUCGGAAGGGAAAUAUAUUCGUGAGGGUAUCGUCUCUGCUGCCCCUUGCCUGCAAACCUGUGUUCUCGGGGCUUUGUGUUACUAGAAUCCUUGGAGGUGAGGUGUGAGCGGCGCUGGGUGAAAGGGUGAGCUGCUUUUUAUGUCUGCCUGGUGACAUUUAUCAUGCUGUUUAAAGUCAUAUCUGGAAAAAAUUCUGUUUGAUGAUAGUUAGCAAUGUUUUGUGCAGCAUAGAGCAUAUGGCCGUGUAGAAUUCAAGCGAUGCUCUUUCAUUCUUAAUUUGUAAUUAUUUUUACACUCAACUGUACUGAGGUCAGAGAGUUUUAAAAAUUAAUGAGCUUCCCUGUGGAGUUCAAAUACUAAUGUCGAUGUGAGCUGCCACAAAAAGAUAAGAUUAUGCUGGUAUAUUUUAAACUUAGACUUAACUGUAUCAUUUUGAACAUCUCCAUCUGAAAUGCAUGAGUUGUAUAUUAGUUUAUGGAAGCCUAGGUAUUUGAGAAUAUUAGUCCUUAAAAUUUUUUUUAAUGACCUGGAGAAAUGUUGUGAAAAUUAGACUGUAGAAAAUGAUUAUUUUGUAUAGAGACAUUGUUAAAACUUAAGAGAAAUUAUUAUUAUAAUGGAGAAUACCUUAUACUUUCGAGGAAAUCACAAAUAAUGAAUGAGCUACAUGCUCAAAAAUAUCUGCAAUGUGCUUUCAGCAUAAGUAAGAUAAUAAAAAUUCAGGAUUUAUUUAGGGUGAAAAAUUGCUGGCACAAACAAAGAAACAAGUGUGCCCAUAGAUGAGAAUUCUUUGUCACAAAAAUGAAUCCAGGGCAUGGAUUUAGGAGGUUAAGUGAUUUCUACAUUCUUAGUGCCCUUCAAAAGGGGUGAGUCCAGACAUUUAAGAAUGUGCCCCAAACUUUCAUUUCCCACAAUUUAAAGACAUUGUUUAUGUUCCUGAUACAACACAUUGUUUCAAUGCGGGGGAUUGAAAAGCAGUCUGAGUAUACAGUAAUCGGGGCUAAAGAUGCUUUUUAUCCUGAGUUCCCCAUUUACAAGACCCAUUCUGAGCUUCCUGUGAUAUAUUGUCAUGUAAAUACUGUGCAGCCAGGGAAAGCAGUCCUAUGGAGAUUCAAUUUACUUUGAAAGUUGUUCAUUAUAGAAGGGAUGAAUGUUAUUUAUUUGAUGUGAUUCAAAGGCUGGAAAUGACUUUUUCAUUGUGGCACCUUUUGUAAUGGGUGCAGGGUGAUCUAAUCUUUUUAAUUUUGGCUUUCACACCAGUGGAGAUGAAAAGAGAUCUGAACUCAUUUAUCGGUUGCUAGGUCCUUCUGGAGACCCGAGUCCUGUUCUUGGUUGCUAUGGCCAGUCUGACCUCAAUCUCUAUAGUUUUGGGGACUUAAGCAGUUUCUUGUUCUUCGUCGUUGUCUUCUUCUUCUCCUUUUUUUUUUUUUUUUUAAUGAGGAGCAUGUACCUUGAUUUGUGUCCAAAAUUGUGGCUGAACGUCUUUGUCUGCGAGUGAUAAAUGGUGCCGAACAAUUCAACAGUUCUUACAAGUAAACACCGCUGUCCCACUAAAAAUAUGUUUUGUUCUGAGUUAAUGGUACGGAACAAGGCAGCCUCCACAAACAGCUAUCUUUUAUUGUGGAGGGGCCUCCGAAACUUGGAGCAAAGUGGAGGAAAUUGGCUUUCAUUUUCUCGUGCAUUAGCAUUUUAUUUGUGAGUCAGCCGGCGCGGCUUUAGGUGGACCGGUGGAUCGAGGAUGAGAGGGUAACCCUCCCUGUACUUUCUUUCUAGCAGGGGCUGCGUGUGCCCGGAUCCUGCCGGGACGCUGAGAACUCGGGAGGAGUUUCUGCGUUGGGAAUGGUCUUUGGUUCCCAAGCACCGAGUGCUGAGGCACAAGCGGGCAGGUGUUCUGUGGCUUUGCUGCUUUCGGUCUCACGCUGAUGGUUUCAGGGAAAGUUCUGUCCAAUUGUGGUGACUCCCAGGAAUGUUCUGCUGGUGUGCUACUAACGCUGAGGCGUCCCAGGACGUCCUUGGAUUCUAGAACCUCUAGAGAAAGGAUUCAUGGUGAUUAAGAGGCUGUGGAGGCUGCAGCCGGAUUCAGCAGAGGGGCCGUCAUACAUUUCUCCAUUCCCUUAAAAACUGCUUAUUUGAUUCUGCAGGGAGCAUACACUCUGCUGAUAAUGUGAUGGUGGCAGAGAAGGUGUCAGGAAAGGCAUUUAUUGCUUACCAGCACCAUCAGCUUCCUUCAGAGAUCGUGGCUUUGUAGUGUAGUUUUUUCUUUUAAUAGGACUGUGCUAAUGGUUUUUAUUCUAAAUUGGUCAGCCCUGAGCAUCUUCAGGAAAAAUGGGUUCCCUAAGAAGUGACAUCCUCCUCGAAUUGAAAGGUAAAAAUUAAACGUUUUUUUAAAGUGCCGUUUUAGAAACCAUUUCAUGUACUUCUUGCCAGUGGCAUUAGAAAACUGCUUUCUAAAGAAAACUGUUUAAAAUUUAAGCCAUUCUAUUUCACGUUAAAGGUUUAAGGAAGAGACUAUCUUUGGGAAUUUUAUUGUUAGUGAUUUUGGUAAAAUUGCCUAGCUUUUAUUGACAAAUUACAGUCAGGUAUCUUGUUUACUUUUAGUCUUGAAAAUAAACAGAUUUUCAUAUUUUAGAGAAAAUGAUAAUUUGGGGGAUCAAUAAAAUAAUCUUUAUCUAUUGUGUAUAGAUUUUAUUCCUAAAACUGGUAAAUAAAAACCAAGAUUAGGUGAUGUGGAAGGUCUCUUCCACCCUGAAAAUUCUUGAUGGAGUACCAGUUUUCGAAAAGAAUGCAUGACGAUGCUUUUAUUAACAUAACCACACAUAUUCAGCUACUGUGUGGCCCUUCACCUGAGCAGCAGUAAAAAGUUCCAUGCUCUGUUGUACAGGUAAUAAUUGUGAAUGGAAGUAAUUUCCAAACAAUUGAUUUUCGAAGGUAUUUUUUUUGAAAACUGCUUCUUUAACGCUUUAUUAAAACUGGGGUUUUGCAAAGCUCAAUUGUGUCUCCUUAACUGGGGUAUCGUCAGGUCUUCUUAAAGAUAAUACUUUAUUUAAGUGGUUAAUGUCCAAAGAAAUAUUUAAUUCUAGGUAUCCGAAGAAGACAGAUAUUCCCCGGUCUGUGAUUCUCAGGCUGACGCAGUGAGCGGUGGAGUGGGUUGGCAACCGUAGUUUCUCCGCUCGUGCAGAAUGGCUGCAGGGAACAAAAUUAGACAUGCCCAGCGAAGUCUGCCCGGGGUGAAACAGAUGCCUUUGAGGGUUGAAUCAGAAACUACACGAUUUUUGUUGCUAUAUUUUGUUAGAAAGGAAGGAGAGGCUGUUUCUACAGGUGUCAUAAAAAAUCAAUACUGAGCCACGGAUUAUUGGAUCCCAUAGAACCAUGGAGACUUCGUGCUGAAAUUCUUCCAAAGUUUCUUCUAGAUUUGGCAAAGUUGAAAAGCUAUACCUAACGCAUUGGUUGUUUUACCGCAUUGCUUAGUAUUCCAUCCGUGCAGGCAGACGGUGUUCCUAGGUUUGGGAGGAUAAAUCCCGGGGGAAGUAAGCUGAAGAACAUUUUAUGCAUCACUCAUUCUAUUACGAGCCCUCUGCUGUUCCAUCUCUACAAGACUGGCUGAAACAACAACAAUCUUACAAUUUAUACUCUAAUUUUGGAUCAUCUAGUUAAUACUUUAAUGCUGAUUAUCUUGAAAGACAAUGUCCUAUAAGAAAGGCUAUUUGAAUGCUGCUCUGCAUCAGUAAUAAAAUAGCUGGGAGAAGGCAACAUGCGGGAGGUACCAUCUGAUGAGGUAAGAUUCUAUCAUGUCCCAUAGAGUACGAUUACAUUUGAUUUUCUUUGUCAUUAUCUCAACCCCAAGAAAGUUUGCAUUUAUCAACUUGACAUGGAAACCUGUAAUGUAGAGCAUCAUAUACAUUGUGUAAACUGUGACCAGUUUGAAGCACUGAAGGCCAAGCUAUUUAAUGUAUUUUCUUUAUGUAUUAAUUAUACUGUUUUACUAUUUUUCAUCCUUUGCAGCUUAGAAAAUCAUGACUCAUUAAGCAUGUAACCUAUUUAAAUGAAAAAUAAAUUACAUACAUUAUCAUUGUUAUGGGAGGGAAAGGCAUACUAUUCUGUCACUUGGGAUGAGGUUUAACUGUCCAUGUGUGAAUUCUUAAAUGCGAACAAACCCAAGACAAUGGCAUGCUUUAAAGUGCUCUAAAGUUAAAAUGGGAAAUAAGGAUUUUGUGGUAAGUGGCAGCCUUGUUUUUACUGUUGUGAUAAUAUAACAUCUGCAUGAGAAAAGAAACGUACAAAAGGCAAUGAAGGGACAAUGAAGGAGCUGGACUUACAGAUAGUUCCAAGUGCCUGUAGGUACAGUUUGCAGGUGUUAAGUAUCCAGCCCUCUUUAUCUGGUGCACAUACACUGGCCCGUCAGAGUGGUCAGGUGCUCUCUUCGUACUCCAGAAAAACUAGUGUUUUCCACAUCACUUACGUUUAUUCCAAAAUCUCCAACAAUAUAUAAAACAUAUUUUAUCAUUGUCUGAGUAACAGGAUGGUAGCUCUUUUCUCUUGGGGUUAAAACCAUCACAUGACUUUUCCUAAGAUGUUGCAAAGACGAAUGUCUACUAGAUAAUUUGUGGUCUGUACACUGUUGUGAAUUUCUGUGGGGAAAACGUGGCAACUGAUGGAAGCAUAACUACCCUCAACGUGAAAACGGCCUGGGAUGCCACCUUCAGCCAGCACAGUGUCUUGGAUCCAUUACCGUUUCCUUUGCUUCCUUUGUUGUUGUCCUCCAGGUUCGCUGUGGGUCCACCUCGCUUUUGUUUCCCUUUGACUCUCUGUUGUGUUCCAGUUGGCAGCUGAAGAACAGAAACAGAGCAGUAAGGCUGCAUGGCUCCAUUUUCCAGUGCCACCAACCGCGAGUUAAGCUGACUAACAUUGUGAAAGCCGGGUCCAUUUCGGUCACAGCAGGCGUGGCAGCGGUUGACUGAUUGUACCCGCCAGAUGGCUAAUAUCAUAAUUAACAAAGUUGCUACUACAUUUGCAAAGUUUAAUCGAAAAAUUUGCCGGUGAUAUGACGGCAUUGUCACAAAGAUCACAAGGGACACGGAGCCGACUUUUGCUCAAGGUGGAGUGGCAAAGCUGUGUAGGCAAGACGAAAAGAAAUCGCGAACUUGUUCAGCCAAAGGUUAUGCAUCAUAUCACCCACCAGGGAGGAUCAUCUCUCAUGAAAACUUUUAAAUUUGAUUUUGAAAAUUAUUCAGAAAAAUUUAAGCCACGCUCUCUUCCCAUGUAAGAAAGAAUAUGCUCUGGAGAUUCCUAUAAUUCAAGGAAAAUGGACCAGGGUAGCACUUGGGUUCUCAUGCUACCAAAAAUCCUCUUAUGCAGGAGGCUAAUAAUGAAGGGGCCAGGGAAGGAGGCCAGUGCUACGAGGGUUAUCUCACAGCCUCAGAUGCUGGAUAAGUCGAAGGAGGCAAAAUCGCUUUUGGAUGACAUUCAGAAAGGCCGGAGUGAUUAUUUGGAAGAGAAAAGCCUGCCUAUUCUUUUCCAAGGUGUGUGAAUAUUCCCCUGGCCUGCCGGUCCACGGAUGAAUUACUAGCAACCUGCUGUAGACAAAGGAUGCUCUCGGAACCCCACCACACCUAAAGCCACGCUUUGAAGGAUCUGCCAAGCUCACUUUUAAUCAUGAGAAAGAAAUUACUCACAUGGAGUCAGCAGAAAAUGAGAAAGUGGAGCUCGUGCUACAAAUAAUUCCAGCAAGUGCCAAGGGGCUAGUUGAGGAAUGGCUUCACGAGGUGAAUAUCUUUAGCUCGUACUUAGGGUUUGGCUAGCAUAUAAUCAUUUUUUCUUUUAGGAAUGAUGACUAUCCUAAGUGUCUUUCCUAACGAAAGAGUGCUCAGAGCAUCUGUCAGGAUGUUGACAGAUUUAAUGUCAGUCUCGUCCCUGUUGUUAUGUACUAUGACUAAUUUUACAUUUGCAAAGAUGCAAACAUCAGUUGAGGCGAAGAAGAGGCUGUCUGAGCCAAUGACUGUUAAUAGCUGUAUGCAUUUGUGUGUUUCACUGUGAGUGCAUGUCCGGUGAUUCCUGUCUCUGUGUAUGUAUGUGUCCUCGUUCUCGUCUUCUCUCUGUCGUGCACACGUCGGUCGGGAGGGCUGGCCGGCCAAUGGGUUCUCAGACGUGGUCCCAGGCUUUCAUUUGAUUUUUGGACCAGGAAAAAAAGAAUGUGUCGUGUCAUGAUGAAUGGUCAAUCUGAAUUUUCAAUUCGUAUGAAAGGAGAAGGGGGAGGAGGAUAUAAAGCCCAGUGAUGAGACUGACCUUUUCCCUUUGGGAAGGAUAUAAUUCAAAUUAAACAUCACUUUCAGUGUGAAAUUAGUUUGAAGGCCUCCUUUUUUUUGUUUGGGGUGGGAGGUGCCUGGUUUAACUCCUUGAUGGCUGCUCUUGCAGAGAGAACCCCUUCCAUCCUGCCUCUGCGCCCCAGUCUGCUUGCAGUAGCUGAUAGUGUCCCUUCCGUUGUUUUAUUUUCUAGAAGUCAGGUCCAAGAAACCAAGAAAAUACUAUUGAAUGUUUUCUACUCUCUUUAAAGUUUCAUUAGUCACGAGAUAAAAUUCUUCCAAGAAUGUGUUAUUUGUUUGUGUCCCAAACUAAUGAUGCCAAUAAAUGAGAAAGAAAAGAAAACUUAGUUUAAGUAUACUUCAUCAGGCAGGAGGGAGAGGAAAGCAAGAUGAAUGAUCUUUUGAAAGACCUUUUGGGUGCCCUCUGCUCUAGGGUAGUUUCUGCUAGCAGAGUGUGCCACAGAAGAACAGCAACCAAAACCCCAAGUUUUCUCUCUGUUCUCUGGUUUCCCAAGUAACUGAGUCACAAGAUUGCCAUGCCAACCUGCAGCAACUUUGGCUUCAAGCAAGCAGGUGCCAGGACACUUUGAAACUGCCCUGCAAUACUUGCUGGUCGAAGGACACAGGCCCAAACUUGUAGAAAGAAUGCCUGUGCGUGGAAAUGCUGGCCGGCAUGCCCACGUGCACACAUCCUGGACACCACAGUGAGGCAUUGUCGAGGUCUGAUUUGCAACUGAUUCUCUCUCUGGAGCUUGGUCCUUCUGGGGAAAGGGAAAGGAUUAACAAGGCUAAGUAAGGGACAGGGUUGUUUUUCCAUUGUAUUUGCAAAAGGAAAAUGUUAGGGCUCUUUAAUUCUUUCUCCCUAAAGGAUGGAGAGGUGUGGUGGGGGAGGUGAGCCAGCUGGGAAUGGAGGUAGAGGUGGAGUGGAGGAGGUGGAAUAUAGGGGCCGAUGAGCAGCUGUGUUUAUUUGAAUACAUAUCAUUUAACCCUCACCUAAAGCCAAAUUGGAGAGGUUUGGGAGUGCAUUAAUCUGGACCCAAUUAACAUGUCUUUCUCCUUCAAAAGUGCAACCUGAGAUUAAUGAAUAUAAACUAGAGUUUCAGAUGUAGUGCUUAAAUCAUUUGCAUGUUUCAUGCAUGAUAAUUGAAUUUAUGUAUGCACUUCCUUUCAUUUAACUAUUUCCAGUCUCCUCCCUGUGAUUCACAUAAACCGAGGUUUCAUUAUAGUAACUUCGAGACGGAAAUCGUUUGCCUAGACCUUACUCCUAACGAGAAACUCAAGCCCUUGUGUCUUUUAUGUGAAUGUUCAUAAUACAAUGUUUUUUAAAAAGCAGAGAGUGGAGCUCAAUAGUCUGGGACCCUGUUUCAACAGCUGGUAAUUAGGCACUCCAAGUUUAUUUCUGAAAGGCCAGAAAUCCAUGGGAAUUCGUGGCAUUGAGUUUUCAGUGGUCCUGAAGAAGUGGGUUUUGGUAUGGCCACUUAUAGUGUAUUGAUAAUCCCACGAGCAAUGUCACUUUCACUCGGCAUAAAGCAUGUUCUUGGGCUCUGGACCUGAGUUAUUUAGACCAUUGAGGGGUUUAGUGCACAGUAUUGUUUCUGGCAGAGUUAGAUAUUUUCUUCCAUAUAUGGGGGUGGGGGAUGGUGUCAGGCUCUCUGAAGGUCUGUAGAUGAGUAGUUAGCACUUGUGGUCCCUUAGGAUGUUGUAGAGUUUUUUUUUCCCUCUCUCUCUUUUCUUUCUUUUUUUGUUAUUUAGGUGUAGAAGUCGUAAUGCUGGCUUAGUGCAAGCAGGUGCUAAGUUCCCCUCUCCCCACCUGCUCCAAAAUGAAAAAGCUGGCUGUGGGCAUGUAACAAAGCUUCCUGGGGAAGAAGUUGAAACGAGGCUUGAAAUAAAUCCCCUGGUUUCAGUGAUUUGUCUGUCUUCUGUCUUUCCUCAUGUGUUUCCAAGUUCAAUGUCAAAGUGAUGAGCUUUUCUCCAGGAAUUCUCCCCAGUGUUCUUUGUUUUUGGUGAAUUCAAUGGUUGAGUGUUGCUGAGUGUCUCCUGGUCUUGUUUCCUGGUCCUUGUAGCUAAGAAUGUUGUUGAAGGAUGAAAUCUUGUUAAUUUGUGAUGUCAAAACUUAAGUGUGCUUCCUGUCACUUAUGUGUAGUUUAAAAUGUUCCGUAAUGUAGCAUGAAAUGAUUGGUUAGCUUUGAAAUGGUUGUGAAGUCGUGUGAAGAAAAUAAGUUUUGCAUCCGACCAAGAUAAAUUCACUCUAGUGCUUUAUGGCUUUUUAUUCCUAUGUGAUAGUAAUAAAGUCUCAUGUAGGGAUGGAAGCCAUGAAAUACAUUGUGAAAAAUCAUCAACUAAGAAGGGGCCAUCAGUAUAGAAAACGUUAGCCUGUGGAGCUGUGCAUGUGAUGGAGAACCGAUGUAGUGUAUAGCUUUGCUACAUGCUUGGUGUUUCUUUGAGUUUCUUUAUCCCUAGGUUUUGACAGCUAAGGAAUCUAGGUUACAAGAGUUGAUUCAUCUUUGUAAUCAUUGAUUUACAUGCACAUUUGGGUUUACACAUUUCUCUUUAUCAUACAUUGUUUCUCUGUUUUCUAUUAACGAAUAUGCUCUAGAAAAACUUAAUAGCCCGCUAACCUGGUGGGCAGCAUUAAGCCCUUCUAUGCCUACUUUCUCCUGUUGUGGUCUUUCUUCUGAAACAAAGAAGGAAUUGUCUAAUGAGACUUGCCGUCUUGGAAAUGUGGUCCAGAUUGCUCUACUCCCAAGCUCAGGAAAGGUAUACAUUGGAUGUGCUAAAUCAACACCUCCUGGGGCCCAUAAAUCCACUGAGAGUUGUUUCCCACUUACAGGUAUAGUGUAGUCCGUGACACCUGCUGUCAGAGGAAAGCAGGAGGGCUUUGGAGUGGAGCUGGGUUCUAAUCUCUCUGCCACUCCAACUUCCUGACCUGGGCAAGUCACUUAAACUCUGCAAACCUCUUUACCUUUAAAUUGGGUAGGAGUAAUACACUUUGCAAAGUUGUUGUAAGGAUUCAAUGAAGUAAUGCAUACAGUGCCUAACAAAUUAUUUAGCAUGUUUUUU